rnacentral:rRNA from 1 species
AGAGCGAACGCUGGCGGCAGGCCUAACACAUGCAAGUCGAGCGCCCGUAGCAAUACGGGAGCGGCAGACAGGAUAGUAACACGUGGGAACGCGCCCUUCGGUUCGGAAUAACUCAGGGAAACUUGAGCUAAUACCGAAUACGCCCUUACGGGGAAAGAUUUAUUGCCGAAGGAACGGCCCGCGUCCGAUUAGCUAGUUGGUGAGGUAAUGGCUCACCAAGGCUACGAUCGGUAGCUGGUCUGAGAGGAUGACCAGCAUCACUGGGACUGAGACACGGCCCAGACUCCUACGGGAGGCAGCAGUGGGGAAUAUUGGACAAUGGGCGCAAGCCUGAUCCAGCCAUGCCGCGUGGAUGAUGAAGGCCUUAGGGUUGUAAAGCUCUUUUGUGCGGGAAGAUAAUGACGGUACCGCAAGAAUAAGCCCCGGCUAACUUCGUGCCAGCAGCCGC